rnacentral:rRNA from 2 species
GUAGCAAUACAUUCAGUGGCGAACGGGUGAGUAACGCGUGGAUGAUCUACCUAUGAGAUGGGGAUAACUAUUAGAAAUAGUAGCUAAUACCGAAUAAAGUCAGUUAAUUUGUUAACUGAUGAAAGGAAGCCUUUAAAGCUUCGCUUGUAGAUGAGUCUGCGUCUUAUUAGCUAGUUGGUAGGGUAAAUGCCUACCAAGGCGAUGAUAAGUAACCGGCCUGAGAGGGUGAACGGUCACACUGGAACUGAGAUACGGUCCAGACUCCUACGGGAGGCAGCAGCUAAGAAUCUUCCGCAAUGGGCGAAAGCCUGACGGAGCGACACUGCGUGAAUGAAGAAGGUCGAAAGAUUGUAAAAUUCUUUUAUAAAUGAGGAAUAAGCUUUGUAGGAAAUGACAAGGUGAUGACGUUAAUUUAUGAAUAAGCCCCGGCUAAUUACGUGCCAGCAGCCGCGGUAAUACGUAAGGGGCGAGCGUUGUUCGGGAUUAUUGGGCGUAAAGGGUGAGUAGGCGGAUAUAUAAGUCUAUGCAUAAAAUACCACAGCUCAACUGUGGACCUAUGUUGGAAAC